rnacentral:pre_miRNA from 1 species
AGCCUCGUCAGGCUCAGUCCCCUCCCGAUAAAACCCUAAAUAGGGAACUUCCCGGGGGGCGAUCCUGGGUUUUUUGGCG